rnacentral:rRNA from 1 species
UACGUAGGGUGCAAGCGUUGUCCGGAAUUAUUGGGCGUAAAGAGCUCGUAGGCGGUCUGUCGCGUCGGCUGUGAAAUCCCGAGGCUCAACCUCGGGUCUGCAGUCGAUACGGGCAGACUAGAGUGUGGUAGGGGAGACUGGAAUUCCUGGUGUAGCGGUGAAAUGCGCAGAUAUCAGGAGGAACACCGGUGGCGAAGGCGGGUCUCUGGGCCAUAACUGACGCUGAGGAGCGAAAGCGUGGGGAGCGAACAGG